GACGAACGCUGGCGGCGUGCUUAACACAUGCAAGUCGAACGGAAAGGCCCUGCUUUUGUGGGGUGCUCGAGUGGCGAACGGGUGAGUAACACGUGAGUAACCUGCCCUUGACUUUGGGAUAACUUCAGGAAACUGGGGCUAAUACCGGAUAGGAGCUCCUGCUGCAUGGUGGGGGUUGGAAAGUUUCGGCGGUUGGGGAUGGACUCGCGGCUUAUCAGCUUGUUGGUGGGGUAGUGGCUUACCAAGGCUUUGACGGGUAGCCGGCCUGAGAGGGUGACCGGCCACAUUGGGCCUGAGAUACGGCCCAGCCUCCUCCGGGAGGCAGCAGUGGGGAAUAUUGCACAAUGGGCGGAAGCCUGAUGCAGCAACGCCGCGUGCGGGAUGACGGCCUUCGGGUUGUAAACCGCUUUCGCCUGUGACGAAGCGUGAGUGACGGUAAUGGGUAAAGAGGCACCGGCUAACUACGUG
rnacentral:rRNA from 1 species